AACUUAAAAAUCAUUAGAUGGUAGACUGUAAAUCUACAUAAGAUAGAUCUUUAACUUU
rnacentral:tRNA from 1 species